UACGUAGGACCCAAGCGUUAUCCGGAGUGACUGGGCGUAAAGAGUUGCGUAGGCGGCUUUGUAAGUGGAUAGUGAAACCUGGUGGCUCAACCAUUCAGACUAUUAUCCAAACUGCAAAGCUCGAGAGUGGUAGAGGUAGCUGGAAUUUCUAGUGUAGGAGUGAAAUCCGUAGAUAUUAGAAGGAACACCAAUGGCGUAGGCAGGCUACUGGACCAUUUCUGACGCUAAGGCACGAAAGCGUGGGGAGCGAACCGG
rnacentral:rRNA from 1 species